rnacentral:rRNA from 1 species
UGGCGGACGGGUGAGUAACGCGUGGGUAACCUGCCUUAUACAGGGGGAUAACACUUAGAAAUAGGUGCUAAUACCGCAUAAGCGCACAGCUUCGCAUGAAGCGGUGUGAAAAACUCUGGUGGUAUACGAUGGUUCCGCGUCUGAUUAGCUAGUUGGUGGGGUAAUGGCCUACCAAGGCAACGAUCAGUAGCCGGCCUGAGAGGGUGAACGGCCACAUUGGGACUGAGACACGGCCCAAACUCCUACGGAAGGCAGCAG